AUUGAACGCUGGCGGCAGGCCUAACACAUGCAAGUCGAGCGGAUGAAGGGAGCUUGCUCCUGGAUUCAGCGGCGGACGGGUGAGUAAUGCCUAGGAAUCUGCCUGGUAGUGGGGGAUAACGUCCGGAAACGGGCGCUAAUACCGCAUACGUCCUGAGGGAGAAAGUGGGGGAUCUUCGGGCCUCACGCUCUCAGAUGAGCCUAGGUCGGAUUAGCUAGUUGGUGGGGUAAAGGCCUACCAAGGCGACGAUCCGUAACUGGUCUGAGAGGAUGAUCAGUCACACUGGAACUGAGACACGGUCCAGAGUCCUACGGGAGGCAGCAGUGGGGAAUAUUGGACAAUGGGCGAAAGCCUGAUCCAGCCAUGCCGCGUGUGUGAAGAAGGUCUUCGGAUUGUAAAGCACUUUAAGUUGGGAGGAAGGGCAGUAAGUUAAUACCUUGCUGUUUUGACGUUACCAACAGAAUAAGCACCGGCUAACUUCGUG
rnacentral:rRNA from 1 species